GACGAACCGUGCGAACGUUGUUCGGAAUCACUGGGCUUAAAGGGCGCGUAGGCGGCUUGCCAAGUCCGGGGUGAAAUCCUGCAGCUUAACUGUAGAAGGGCCUUGGAUACUGGCGAGCUCGAGGGAGGUAGGGGUAUGUGGAACUUCCGGUGGAGCGGUGAAAUGCGUUGAUAUCGGAAGGAACGCCGGUGGCGAAAGCGACGUACUGGACCUCUUCUGACGCUGAGGCGCGAAAGCUAGGGGAGCAAACGGG
rnacentral:rRNA from 1 species